GACUGGAUAGCCUAAUGGUACAGGCAUCACAUUGACAAUGCUGCGGUCCCAGGUUCAAAUCCUGGUCUAGUCA
rnacentral:tRNA from 1 species